CUCGUAGGCGGUUCGUCGCGUCCGGUGUGAAAGUCCAUCGCUUAACGGUGGAUCUGCGCCGGGUACGGGCGGGCUGGAGUGCGGUAGGGGAGACUGGAAUUCCCGGUGUAACGGUGGAAUGUGUAGAUAUCGGGAGGAACACCAGUGGCGAAGGCGGCUUCCUGGCCGGAUACUGACGCUCAAGUGCGAAAGCUGGGGGAGCGAACG
rnacentral:rRNA from 1 species